AGUUUGAUCCUGGCUCAGGAUGAACGCUAGCGGCAGGCCUAACACAUGCAAGUCGAGGGGCAUCGGGAUUGAAGCUUGCUUCAAUUGCCGGCGACCGGCGCACGGGUGCGUAACGCGUAUGUAACCUACCUAUAACAGGGGCAUAACACUGAGAAAUUGGUACUAAUUCCCCAUAAUAUUCGGAGAGGCAUCUCUCCGGGUUGAAAACUCCGGUGGUUAUAGAUGGACAUGCGUUGUAUUAGCUAGUUGGUGAGGUAACGGCUCACCAAGGCAACGAUACAUAGGGGGACUGAGAGGUUAACCCCCCACACUGGUACUGAGACACGGACCAGACUCCUACGGGAGGCAGCAGUGAGGAAUAUUGGUCAAUGGACGCAAGUCUGAACCAGCCAUGCCGCGUGCAGGAAGACGGCUCUAUGAGUUGUAAACUGCUUUUGUACGAGGGUAAACUCACCUACGUGUAGGUGACUGAAAGUAUCGUACGAAUAAGGAUCGGCUAACUCCGUGCCAGCAGCCGCGGU
rnacentral:rRNA from 1 species